UCCUAUAAUUGCUCUGAUAUGUCUUAUUGCAAGUUCCCUGAUCGUUUCUCCUAUAAUUGCUCUGAUAUUUCUUACUGCAAGUUCCCUGAUCGUUUCUCCUAUAAUUGCUCUGAUAUUUCUUAUUGCAAGUUUCCUGAUCAUUUCUCCUGUAAUUGUUCUAAUCUUUCCUAUUGCAAGUAUCCUGAUCUUUCCUCACUGCAAUUUUAUCUCUACAUUUGCUUUGAAUAUGAGGAACUUUGAAUUGUUCUAACCUUGUAUUUGAUUUAUCUCCUGUUUAGACGUAACGAUUCGAAUCUGUGCAACUUUUGAGAUUCUGACCUUUUGAUACCGAGCUGCCUAUAAGUCUUUGUUGGAAACUCUGAUUUGUUCAAAACUAAUUUCAUUGGAAACUAGACUCGUAGAUCUUUCUUUGAUAUAUGAAUUGAAAGAUUUGGAAUCCAAACACCUGCCCAGUUAUCUAUUGAAUCUGACAUUACGAAUUCUGCCAAACAGAGAUUUUGUUCUACGACCCUUGUUUACCAAAUUAUUUGUAACUCUCUCUGUUGGAUAGUUCAAUUCAUAUGAAGCCUGUCUUAUCUGAAAGUAUUAUCCAAUGAUUAUUUCUGAGUAAAUUGGAGCACGAUUGAUAGUUUGAAUCAUUUGUUCAAUGUGCCUCUUGUAUUCUGCUAGAAAUCGAGCUUUGGUCGAUUUCUCAUAUUCUCGUUUCAUUCCUUUGGAAAUUGAUAUCCUUUAGCUUUCUUAUUUGAAUUGAGCUAAAUAUGAUUGUUUGGAAUCCCUGUAUACUCUUGCUUUCAUUUCAUUCCAAAUCUGAAUACAUUUGUGAGAGAUUGUUGCUUGCAUCAUAUUUGACUCGUAAAGGUACAUGUACGUUUGUUGUUCCGCGUGUGCUUCCGAUAUAUGCUAUUUAUUGUUCAUACUGCCCUUUUGUACUCUGGUGUUUGUGGGACUGUCUGGACCUUUGCCAGAAAUGGUAAAGGGUGUUAUUCUGGACCUUUGCCAGAAAUGGUAAAGGGUAUGUGCUUAGAGCCUACGAUGCUCUAGAUUAUGUCUGGUGGUCAUUCAGAAAUGGAUGUAUCACGUUCUGUUUGAGGUCCCACUACACCAUCUAUAUGUUUGAUAUGAUAUCCAGAGCUUUGGUUAUGUGUUUUUGUACAUGCUCUGGAUAAGAAUGAUAUGAUUGCAACGUCAAGGACGACGAUCGAGCUUUGGUCGAUUUCUCAUAUUCUGGUUUCAUUCCUUUGGAAAUUGAUAUCCUUUAGCCUUCUUAUUCAAUUGAGCUUUAUAUUACUGCUUUGAAAUCUUGUAUGCUCUUGUCCUUAAAAUUAUUUGCAUUCUUGAAACUAUUGUGUAACGUUUAUGCUAUAUCGUAUUGACUCACAUAGGCACAUGUGUA
rnacentral:lncRNA from 1 species